GUGGGGAAUAUUGGACAAUGGGCGAAAGCCUGAUCCAGCCAUGCCGCGUGUGUGAAGAAGGUCUUCGGAUUGUAAAGCACUUUAAGUUGGGAGGAAGGGCAGUAAGUUAAUACCUUGCUGUUUUGACGUUACCGACAGAAUAAGCACCGGCUAACUUCGUGCCAGCAGCCGCGGUAAUACGAAAGGUGCAAGCGUUAAUCGGAAUUACUGGGCGUAAAGCGCGCGUAGGUGGUUCAGCAAGUUGGAGGUGAAAUCCCCGGGCUCAACCUGGGAACUGCCUCCAAAACUACUGGGCUAGAGUACGGUAGAGGGUAGUGGAAUUUCCUGUGUAGCGGUGAAAUGCGUAGAUAUAGGAAGGAACACCAGUGGCGAAGGCGACUACCUGGACUGAUACUGACACUGAGGUGCGAAAGCGUGGGGAGCAAACAGGAUUAGAAACCCGGGUAGUCC
rnacentral:rRNA from 1 species